rnacentral:rRNA from 1 species
UGCCAGCAGCCGCGGUAAUACGGAGGGGGUUAGCGUUAUUCGGAAUUAUUGGGCGUAAAGGGCGCGCAGGCGGUCUUGUCCGUCAGGUGUGAAAGCUCGGGGCUCAACCCCGGAAGUGCACUUGAAACAGCAAGACUUGAAUACGGUAGAGGAGAGAGGAAUUCCUGGUGUAGAGGUGAAAUUCGUAGAUAUCAGGAGGAACACCGAUGGCGAAGGCAUCUCUCUGGGUCGAUAUUGAAGCUAAGGCGCGAAGGCGUGGGUAGAGAACAGGAUUAGAUA